GAGUUUGAUCCUGGCUCAGGACGAACGCUGGCGGCAUGCCUAAUACAUGCAAGUCGAACGAGCUUCCGUUGAAUGACGUGCUUGCACUGAUUUCAACAAUGAAGCGAGUGGCGAACUGGUGAGUAACACGUGGGAAAUCUGCCCAGAAGCAGGGGAUAACACUUGGAAACAGGUGCUAAUACCGUAUAACAACAAAAUCCGCAUGGAUUUUGUUUGAAAGGUGGCUUCGGCUAUCACUUCUGGAUGAUCCCGCGGCGUAUUAGUUAGUUGGUGAGGUAAAGGCCCACCAAGACGAUGAUACGUAGCCGACCUGAGAGGGUAAUCGGCCACAUUGGGACUGAGACACGGCCCAAACUCCUACGGGAGGCAGCAGUAGGGAAUCUUCCACAAUGGACGAAAGUCUGAUGGAGCAAUGCCGCGUGAGUGAAGAAGGGUUUCGGCUCGUAAAACUCUGUUGUUAAAGAAGAACACCUUUGAGAGUAACUGUUCAAGGGUUGACGGUAUUUAACCAGAAAGCCACGGCUAACUACGUGCCAGCAGCCGCGGUAAU
rnacentral:rRNA from 1 species